CCUACGGGAGGCAGCAGUGAGGAAUAUUGGUCAAUGGGCGGGAGCCUGAACCAGCCAAGCCGCGUGAGGGAAGAAGGUACAGCGUAUCGUAAACCUCUUUUGUCAGGGAACAAAGACUGGGACGCGUCCCCGGAUGAGUGUACCUGAAGAAAAAGCAUCGGCUAACUCCGUGCCAGCAGCCGCGGUAAUACGGAGGAUGCGAGCGUUAUCCGGAUUUAUUGGGUUAAAAGGGUGCGCAGGCGGUCUGUUAAGUCAGCGGUCAAAGCCCGGGGCUCAACCCCGGCCCGCCGUUGAAACUGGCAGUCUCGAGUUGGAGAGAAGUAUGCGGAAUGCGCGGUGUAGCGGUGAAAUGCAUAGAUAUCGCGCAGAACUCCGAUUGCGAAGGCAGCAUGCCGGCUCCACACUGACGCUGAGGCACGAAAGCGUGGGUAUCGAACAGGAUUAGAUACCCCAGUAGUC
rnacentral:rRNA from 1 species